rnacentral:rRNA from 1 species
GACGAACGCUGGCGGCGUGCCUAAUACAUGCAAGUCGAACGCUUCUUUCCUCCCGAGUGCUUGCACUCCAUUGGAAAGAGGAGUGGCGGACGGGUGAGUAACACGUGGGUAACCUACCCAUCAGAGGGGGAUAACACUUGGAAACAGGUGCUAAUACCGCAUAACAGUUUAUGCCGCAUGGCAUAAGAGUGAAAGGCGCUUUCGGGUGUCGCUGAUGGAUGGACCCGCGGUGCAUUAGCUAGUUGGUGAGGUAACGGCUCACCAAGGCCACGAUGCAUAGCCGACCUGAGAGGGUGAUCGGCCACACUGGGACUGAGACACGGCCCAGACUCCUACGGGAGGCAGCAGUAGGGAGUCUUCGGCAAUGGACGAAAGUCUGACCGAGCAACGCCGCGUGAGUGAAGAAGGUUUUCGGAUCGUAAAACUCUGUUGUUAGAGAAGAACAAGGACGUUAGUAACUGAACGUCCCCUGACGGUAUCUAACCAGAAAGCCACGGCUAACUACGUG